rnacentral:lncRNA from 1 species
AUGAAGUUCCACCCAUAUCCCAGGAUACGAAUUUUUUCCUCCCACAUGACACUGACUCUUCAUUAAAAAUAUUUUAAUGUCUUCUAGAUGCCAGACAUAUACCAAUCCUAAAAAAUAACCACAGCCAAAUAGCAAGAGGAAGAUUAUGGCAUAAGGCGAUGGUUCUUUUCAAAGACUGUGUUGCUGUACCACCUUGAGGCUCCAAGUAACACUGCAGCUUUAAGAAAGCAGAGUUGGUCAUCAAUGCCGCUGGACUUCUGUGGUCUCUGCCCAAAGCCUCCUUCUCACUGUGAUAAAAUUCUAUGUACCCCUGGAUUGGUGGCAAGCACCGCCCUGUAGUGAACCCCACGGGAGAGACUGCAGGGCUGUUUUCGGGACAGUAGCGAACUCAAUGGCUGCCACUCAGCCCUGUGACGCUAAGACCAGCCCAGCCUGGCUGAGAGGUGCAUAGGCACCACUGUCUAGGGCAAACUGCCAAGAUGGCCAUCUUAGCCUACCCCGAGCUCCAGCACCUCAGAUCCUGUCCCUUCACGCUCAAUCACAAGGCAGCUUCUGAGGCCAUCAGACGUCCCUACUCAUGGCUGAGGACCACAGUGGCCAUUCAGCAGCUUUGCCUUCCUCUGCAUACCCUGGCCAAUGGUGUCCUUCCCUGUGCCGGUAUUUGCUCCUGCUAGAAACUCUGGCUUAAAGCCCCCUCCUCCAUCUCUUCCCUCAUCCCACCCCUGCACUCUCCUCCUCCAAUCCAGUCCCUUGGCAGGACAGCAGGCACUUCCUAGUUACAGACUCGGGGUUGGGAUUUGGAUAGCCAAGCCUCUGUGUCAGGAGACGGGGCGGGGGUCCAGACGUGGGAAUAGGGACUGGUGUAGUGGGGUGCAAGACCGAGGCAGAGAUAAGACAGGCAACUGCAGCAGCUUCUCUCUGCCUUCCUCGGUGGAGAGCAGUCUUCCCCUCACCCUAACCCACCCCAAUUUUAAGAGGCGAAAAAGAAAACCCAAGUAAUGUGUGCUUUUCAGGAGGCAUUUCGGGACACAGAAAAGUUU